AAGUCGUAACAAGGUUUCCAUAGGUGAACCUGCGGAAGGAUCAUUAACGAAUAACUAUGGUGUUGGUUGUAGCUGGCUCCUCGGAGCAUUGUGCACGCCCGCCAUUUUUAUCUUUCCACCUGUGCACCGACUGUAGGUCUGGAUACCUCUCGCCUCCCUUCUCUUAGGGUUAAAGCGGAUGCGGGGAUUGCUCGCAAGGGCUCUCCUCGAACUUCCAGGCUCUACGUCUUUUUACACACCCCAAUAGUAUGAUCCAGAAUGAUAGUCAAUGGGCUUUCAUAGCCUAUAAAACACUAUACAACUUUCAGCAACGGAUCUCUUGGCUCUC
rnacentral:misc_RNA from 1 species